GUCUUUCAAGUAGAGUUGGUUUAGCUUGGAGUCAUACUCCACUCAAGACUGGAGAUCGCCGGUUCGAAUCCGGCAAAACACA
rnacentral:tRNA from 1 species